GUCCACGCCGUAAACGAUGAGUACUAGCUGUAUGGGUAUCGACUCCCUGUGUAGCGAAGCUAACGCGAUAAGUACUCCGCCUGGGGACUACGACCGCAAGGUUAAACUCAAAGGAAUUGACGGGGCCCGCACAAGCAGCGGAGCGUGCGGUUUAAUUCGAAGCUACGCGAAGAACCUUACCAGGGCUUGACAUGGCGCUGACCGCCGAUGAAAAGUCGGCUUCCCUUCGGGGCGCGUCACAGAUGCUGCAUGGCUGUCGU
rnacentral:rRNA from 1 species